CAGCCGCCGCGGGAAUACGUAGGGUGCAAGCGUUAAUCGGAAUUACUGGGCGUAAAGCGUGCGCAGGCGGUUAUAUAAGACAGAUGUGAAAUCCCCGGGCUCAACCUGGGACCUGCAUUUGUGGCUGUAUAGCUAGAGUACGGUAGAGGGGGAUGGAAUUCCGCGUGUAGCAGUGAAAUGCGUAGAUAUGCGGAGGAACACCGAUGGCGAAGGCAAUCCCCUGGACCUGUACUGACGCUCAUGCACGAAAGCGUGAGGAGCAAACAGGAUUAGAUACCCGGGUAGUCCCUGUCUCUUAUAU
rnacentral:rRNA from 1 species